UAUUUUGUCUUUCACCGGCACAAAGUAUCUGGAUUCAGCAUCUCUGUACCUCUAUACAUAGCACCUCACAGCUCUCCUGGAAAGUCCACGCGCUUCUCUGCUCUAUUUGCUGGCCUCCAGAUUCAGAUUUCAGAAACUAGCGAUCGAUCUGAAGCUCGAUCCCGCACCAUCGAUCUGAAGCUCGACCCGCCCGCGUGAACGGUGAACCCUGUAUCAGGGGAAUGCUUGGGAAUAGGAUGGUCGCCGUAAACAUGUUCAAUGAAACGCUCGAUAUUCUUGAGAACAAAUACAAUGAAGAGGUCGGUUGCUUAAUGAAGACGAAGCACAAGAAUUUAGUGUGUUUUCUGGGUUCUCGGACAAGAGGAAUAAUUGUAGACUACGAGGGAGCAUCUUCUAUACUUGUAUGGAGAAAGUGUCAUGAAGUAAUCAAGAGAAUUUGUGAGGGUUUAUAUCAUCUGCAUGUGAAGCAGCGUAAUGUCCACUUGAAUCUGAAACCAGCGAACAUAUUGUUAGAUGAUAGUAUGGUACCAAAAAUCGCUAAUUUGGACUAUAUUUUAAGUCAGACAUAUACAGCUUGGGUGUUAUAAUCAUAAAGAUACUAUCAGGGAUUGCCUGAUUGGUUGUCUAAUGAAGGCGAAGCACAAAAACAUAAUACGAUUUCUGGGAUAUUGUGCUGACACACAAGAGACAAUUAAAGUCCGUUAUGGCUUUUAUAUUAAAGAGGUUGCUCUGUUUCGAGUAUCUACCUAAAGGAAGCCUUGAUAAGUAUAUUAUUGGUAUAUCUUCACGUGAAUCGGCGUAUAUUCCACUUAGACCGUACACCUACAAACAUACUGUUAGAUGAGAAUAUGGUACCAAAAAUUACUGAUUUUGGUCUCUCAAGAUGCUUUGAUGAAAAGUAAAGCCAGGCUUAUACUUGAAAUUCGAAAGGAACCUUGUAAGCUAUUAAUGAAUUCGAGCAAUUUAAAUGUUUUCUUAUUCUGUGUGUAAGAAUUGCAUUGAUUUUAUUUACCAAUAAUGUAAAUUUGCAUGCAGUGGAUAUA